CUAAAACUUUAAUCUGCUUGUCUGCUGAUGGGUGGGGCUGAGUUCCCUCCCUGUUGGUUGUUGGUCUGAGGUGACCCAGCAUUGGAGGCUACAGGCUCUUUGGUGGGGCUCAUUGCAGACUCUGGGAGGGCUCACGCCAAGGAGCACUUCCCAGAACUUCUGCUGCCAGUGUCCUUGUCCCCGCAGUGAGCCACGGCCACCCCCCGCCUCUGCAGGAGACCCUCCAACACUAACAGGUUUCUCUCAGCUGUUACCCUUGGCUCUGGGGUAACUGUGUGGAAUUUCAUGGCCCAAGCCAACACGGUGGCCUGUGUGGCAUUUCCAUUUCUCAAGCCUGGCAGGCGAUGGAAAAUGGGAUUCAGGCAAGGUCUCACACCUACAACAGAGUUAGUAUGCAAAAUGUUUUCAACCACCAACUUGCCCCUGACUGAGCAGAUGCAGGUGAGACAGCAUCUUCUACGUGAUCUCAAAAUCCUAUCCCAUCUGCUGCUUUCUUUGGCAGCAUUUGGAACUGUCCAGAGGAUCCAGGUCUCAUGGGUAUCACUUACCUCCCCAAAGCAGCUGGGAAGUGAGUAGCGAGAGCACAAGGAUGCCACGACAAGCAGAAAAACUUCCCUAGGUGAAGAGAUGAAGGGAAGUCAGGAUAUAUGACAGUUUCUUGAACCUCCCUCUGAAACUUGUAAAUCUGAAAUUGAAUCCACUUUAUGGUUCCAACAUCAUCACUGAAGCCAAGAUUGCUCCUAAAUUACCCAACUUGUAUUGCAGAUGACAAUGUGCGGGGUUAGUGAUUUUGCUUUAAAAAUAAAUAA